AGCAGCCGCCACGGUAACACGAAGGGUGCAAGCGUUAAUCGGAAUUACUGGGCGUAAAGCGUGCGUAGGCGGCUUCUUAAGUCGGAUGUGAAAUCCCUGAGCUUAACUUAGGAAUUGCAUUCGAUACUGGGAAGCUAGAGUAUGGGAGAGGAUGGUAGAAUUCCAGGUGUAGCGGUGAAAUGCGUAGAGAUCUGGAGGAAUACCGAUGGCGAAGGCAGCCAUCUGGCCUAAUACUGACGCUGAGGUACGAAAGCAUGGGGAGCAAACAGGAUUAGAUACCCCUGUAGUCCCUGUCUCUUAUAC
rnacentral:rRNA from 1 species